rnacentral:rRNA from 1 species
GUGGGAUAUAACCGCCUUGUUAUUAACUCCGACAACAUGGAAGCCAUCAACACAAUGAAGAACGGAGGACAAUCGGCGGGAGCGGCGGCGACGGUCUUUGAUGAUUGCUAUUUUUUGGCUUGUAAUUUUCCUCUUACUAGGUUUGUACAUUGUAAUAGGAAAGCAAAUAAGGUGGGUCAUGAACUUGCUAGAUUAGCGAAAGUUUCCAUGACAAGGGGCUGUUUUGAGGAGCCAAUGGUUGAAACUGUACCUUUACUUAUUGACGAUGUAACUGCUAUUUCCGAUUAA